rnacentral:rRNA from 1 species
GCAACGGCGUCCAGUACUCCCUCAGCCAGUUCACGCCCUACGUGAGCCAAGACCUGGGCUCCAAGUGCAUGGCCUCCGCCAUCAGCCUCCUCAUCUGCUUC